UGCCACCAUAGCCGUGCCCCAAAAGAAAAAAGGCGACACCAAAACUCCCGUCUCCACCAUCAUUUCCAAUAAAUCACUUUUCGAUUCAUCUCCUCCUCCCUCUUCCACCGCCAACUUUGUACCAUUAGUUUCAGAGGAGGGAGAAGAAGAGACAAGGCACUCCACAUCUAGGCCUGUCCCUACGCAAUCAAAGUCCAUCGAUGACGAAGAAUCAGCAUUAGAAUCUGAUGAUUUUGAUUCCAA
rnacentral:misc_RNA from 1 species